rnacentral:rRNA from 1 species
GACAGAGGAGCCAAGCGUUGUCCGGAUUGACUGGGCGUAAAGCGCACGCAGGCGGUCGCGCGCGUGGGGUGUGAAAUCUGGCCGCUUAACGGCCAGGCGCCAUCCCAUACGGCGCGACUGGAGUGAUGCAGAGGUCGAUGGAAUUGCCGGUGUAGUGGUGAAAUGCGUAGAUAUCGAGAGGAACACCUGCGGCGAAGGCGGGUUGCUGGGCUGACACUGACGCUGGAGGCGCGAAAGCUAGGGGAGCGAACGGG